CUCUCCUGACUUAUUCCAAAUUUCAGCCUUACCACAACUUCAGCUUUACCAUGUGAACUUUAGGUGCAGGGAUUAACACAUCGUGGUGGUAAACAUUUCCCUUGACUUAUUGAUUUGAUUAUUUUAGGGAAUGUGCAUCUCAAAAGAAGGCUGCAGGCUGCUACCACCUGAAAAAGAAGAGCUACCUGGGAAGGGAAUUGUGUACAAGGUACAUAUGGAAUGGAGGUCAGCAUGUUUUCACACUAUGGAACUCUGCGAUUGAAGUCAAGGUCAAAAAUGCUGUCAUCUGUGAUGGAAAAUUUUCCAAAUUUUUCUACAUUGUAAUGUAUCAAAUAAUCCAGUUAAGUUUCUUAGCAUAUAAUUAUAUGAAAUCAUGCAAUUAUGGGUACAUGAGAAAUGUUUUUCUGUAUCAAUAAAGGAUUGGAAAAUAUAAAUGACAAAUCGCAUGUUUAGGAAUAACAACUUCCCUCUCUGACGACCAUACAUAAUUCUGUUAAAUGAAUUAAAACUUUGAGGAAAUAUAUUUAUGUCCCUGAAAUUAAGCUGAAUGACUAUAAAUCACUUAGCAAAGGUGUUUUUCUGUAGCUAAAGUCUUCCUCUGAGUGAAUAUAAGAAAAACCUUUCUUAUAGGCCAGCUAAGGCCCAGUGAGUGAACAUCCACAAGGGCAAGGGCCCUUCCAUGGUCCUGUUCAGCCCUGGGACUUCCAAUUAUAAUCAGAGCCAAACUGUAUCACAAGUAGUAGGUACCUGCCUGACUGCUGGCUAUCUACAGCAGAAAAUAUUUAAACACUUACCUUAAAAAAACGAAGCUCUCCUUGCAGUACAAAUAUUCAGCAGGAACUUCUGCAGUAAUUAAUCAAAACUUUGCCCAAGAAAAAAGUCCAUAUAUUAACCACUCAUCUUCUCACACACUUAAAAAUGCCUUUCUAUAACAAAAAGUAAGGGGUUAUGGCUCAUUUUUGCACAUUUUUUAAAUUGACACAACUCUCAUUUAUUUUUGGAGCAAUUUUCAUUUGAUAUGAUGAUAUUAGAAGGCAUACAUGUCCAUUAUAAUGAAUUUAGAAUAAAC
rnacentral:lncRNA from 13 species